UUCCAUAGCUAAGUUGAUAGAGCAUGAGGCUCUUAAUCUCAGGGUUGUGGGUUUGAGCCCCACGUUGGGUAAA
rnacentral:tRNA from 1 species